rfam:Pan troglodytes isolate Yerkes chimp pedigree #C0471 (Clint) chromosome 2B, whole genome shotgun sequence.
GCCAGGCGAGGUGGCUCACGCCUGUAAUCCCAGCACUUUGGGAGGCUGAGGUGGGCGGAUCACCUGAGGUCAGGAGUUUGAGACCAGCCUGACCAACAUGGUGAAACCCCAUCUCUA